AGCAGCCGCGGUAAUUCCAGCUCCAAUAGCGUAUAUUAAAGUUGUUGCAGUUAAAAAGCUCGUAGUUGAAUUUCGGGGUUAGCAAGUUGGUCGUGCCUUUGGUAUGCACUGGCUUUGCUGAUUCCUCCUUCUUGAAGAACUGUGAUGCUAUUAAUUUGGUGUUGCAGGGAAACAGGACUGUUACUUUGAAAAAUUAGAGUGUUUAAAGCAGGCUAACGCUUGAAUACAUUAGCAUGGAAUAAUGAAAUAGGACGUUUGAUCCUAUUUUGUUGGUUUCUAGGAUUGACGUAAUGAUUAAUAGGGAUAGUUGGGGGCAUUAGUAUUCAAUUGUCAGAGGUGAAAUUCUUGGAUUUAUUGAAGACUGACUACUGCGAAAGCAUUUGCCGAGGAUGUUUUCAUUAAUCAAGAACGAAAGUUAGGGGAUCGAAGACGAUCAGAUA
rnacentral:rRNA from 1 species